UCUGGGUGUGGCGCAGCUUGGCUAGCGUGCUUGUCUGGGGGGCAAGAGGUCGGAGGUUCAAAUCCUCUCACCCAGAU
rnacentral:tRNA from 1 species